rnacentral:rRNA from 1 species
UACAGAGGUCUCAAGCGUUGCUCGGAUUCAUUGGGCGUAAAGGGCGCGUAGGCUGCGGGGCAAGUCGGGUGUGAAAUCUCAGAGCUCAACUCUGAAACUGCACUCGAUACUGCUUUGCUCGAGGACUGGAGAGGAGAUUGGAAUUCACGGUGUAGCAGUGAAAUGCGUAGAUAUCUGGAGGAACACCGGUGGCGAAGGCGGCGUUCUGGACUGCAACUGACACUGAGAGACGAAAGCCAGGGGAGCAAACGGG